CGUGGGUAACCUGCCUUAUAGUGGGAGAUAGCCUUUCGAAAGGAAGAUUAAUACCGCAUAAGAUUGUAGUAUCGCAUGAUAUAGCAAUUAAAGGAGCAAUUCGCUAUAAGAUGGACCCGCGUCGCAUUAGCUAGUUGGUGAGGUAAUGGCUCACCAAGGCGACGAUGCGUAGCCGACCUGAGAGGGUGAUCGGCCACAUUGGGACUGAGACACGGCCCAGACUCCUACGGGAGGCAGCAUG
rnacentral:rRNA from 1 species